GACGAACGCUGGCGGCGUGCUUAACACAUGCAAGUCGAACGGUAAGGCCCUUCGGGGUACACGAGUGGCGAACGGGUGAGUAACACGUGGGUGAGCUGCCCUGCACUUCGGGAUAAGCCUGGGAAACUGGGGCUAAUACCGGAUAGGACCCUGGGAUGCAUGUCCUGGGGUGGAAAGCGUUUGCGGUGUGGGAUGGGCCCGCGGCCUAUCAGCUUGGUGGUGGGGUGAUGGCCUACCAAGGCGACGACGGGUAGCCGGCCUGAGAGGGUGACCGGCCACACUGGGACUGAGAUACGGCCCAGACUCCUACGGGAGGCAGCAGUGGGGAAUAUUGCACAAUGGGCGCAAGCCUGAUGCAGCGACGCCGCGUGAGGGAUGACGGCCUUCGGGUUGUAAACCUCUUUCAGCACCGACGAAGCGCAAGUGACGGUAGGUGCAGAAGAAGGACCGGCCAACUACGUGCCAGCCGCCGCGGUAA
rnacentral:rRNA from 1 species